rnacentral:misc_RNA from 1 species
GAAAUGCGAUAAGUAAUGUGAAUUGCAGAAUUCAGUGAAUCAUCGAAUCUUUGAACGCACAUUGCGCCCGCCAGUAUUCUGGCGGGCAUGCCUGUUCGAUCGUCAUUUCAACCAUCAAGCCCCGCGCUUGUGUUGGGGACCUGCGGCUGCCGCAGGCCCUGAAAACCAGUGGCGGGCUCGCUGUCACACCGGGCGUAGUAGAUUUUAUCUCGCUCAGGGCGUGCUGCGGGUUCCGGCCGUUAAAAAGCCUUUUUUACCCAAGGUUGACCUCGGAUCAGGUAGGAAGACCCGCUGAACUUAAGC